AGUGAACGCUGGCGGCAGGCCUAAUACAUGCAAGUCGAACGGCAGCACAGCAGAGCUUGCUCUGUGGGUGGCGAGUGGCGGACGGGUGAGGAAUACAUGGGAAUCUGCCCAGUCGUGGGGGAUAACGUAGGGAAACUUACGCUAAAUACCGCAUGCGCCCUUCGGGGGAAAGCCGGGGACCUUCGGGCCUGGCGCGAUUGGAUGAGCCCAUGUCGGAUUAGCUAGUUGGCGGGUAAUGGCCCACCAAGGCGACGAUCCCGUAGCUGGUCUGAGAGGAUGAUCAGCCACACUGGAACUGAGACACGGUCCAGACUCCUACGGGA
rnacentral:rRNA from 1 species